rnacentral:tRNA from 1 species
UAGGAGAAUAGCUUAAUUUGGUAAAGCUUUGGUUUUCAAAACUAAUGUUGUGGGUUCGAGUCCCUCUUCUCUUGA